rnacentral:rRNA from 1 species
AGCAGCCGCGGUAAUUCCAGCUCCAAUAGCGUAUAUUAAAGUUGUUGCAGUUAAAAAGCUCGUAGUUGAAUUUCGGGAUCAAUACGUCGGUCGUGCUUAGGUACGUACUGGCGUAAUUGAUUUCUCCCUUCUGACGAACCAUGAUGUCAUUAACUUGGUGUCAUGGGAAAUCAGGACUGUUACUUUGAAAAAAUUAGAGUGUUUAAAGCAGGCUCACGCUUGAAUACAUUAGCAUGGAAUAAUGAAAUAGGACGUUCGAUCCUAUUUUGUGGUUUUAGGAUCAACGUAAUGAUUAAUAGGGAUAGUUGGGGGCAUUAGUAUUCAAUUGUCAGAGGUGAAAUUCUUGGAUUUAUUGAAGACUAACUACUGCGAAAGCAUUUGCCAAGGAUGUUUUCAUUAAUCAAGAACGAAAGUUAGGGAUCGAAGACGAUCAGAUACCGUCGUAGUCUUAACCAUAAACUAUGCCGACUAGGGAUCGGAUGAU